AUUGAAACACUGAUUCCCAUACAAUCACCAAAGUUAAGCAACAUCAAAACCGGUCAGUACAUAGAUGGGUGACCACUUGGGAAUACUAGGUGCUGUAAG